GUGCCAGCCGCCGCGGUAAUACGUAGGUGGCAAGCGUUGUCCGGAAUUAUUGGGCGUAAAGCGCGCGCAGGUGGUUUCUUAAGUCUGAAGUGAAAGCCCACGGCUUAACCGUGGAGGGUCAUUGGAAACUGGGAGACUUGAGUGCAGAAGAGGAAAGUGGAAUUCCAACUGUAGCGGUGAAAUGCGUAGAGAUUUGAAGGAACUGCAGUGGCGAAGGCGACCUUCUGGUCGGCAACUGAAGCUGAGGCGCGAAAGCAUGGGGAG
rnacentral:rRNA from 1 species